CGGACUACUCGGGUUUCUAAUCCUGUUUGCUCCCCACGCUUUCGCGCCUCAGCGUCAGUUAUAGGCCAAAGAGUCGCCUUCGCCACUGGUGUUCCUCCACAUCUCUACGCAUUUCACCGCUACACGUGGAAUUCCACUCUUCUCUCCUAUACUCAAGUCUCCCAGUUUCCAAUGGCCCUCCCCGGUUGAGCCGGGGGCUUUCACAUCAGACUUAAGAGACCGCCUGCGCGCGCUUUACGCCCAAUAAUUCCGGACAACGCUUGCCACCUACGUAUUACCGCGGCGGCUGGCAC
rnacentral:misc_RNA from 1 species